rnacentral:rRNA from 1 species
GACGAACGCUGGCGGCGUGCUUAACACAUGCAAGUCGAACGGAAAGGCCCUGCUUUUGUGGGGUGCUCGAGUGGCGAACGGGUGAGUACCACGUGAGUAACCUGCCCUUGACUUUGGGAUAACUUCAGGAAACUGGGGCUAAUACCGGAUAGGAUCUCCUGCUGCCUGGUGGGGGUCGGAUAGUUUCGGCGGUUGGGGAUGGACUCGCGGCUUAUCUGCUUGUUGGUUGGGUAGUGGCUUACCAAGGCUUUGACGGGUAGCCGGCCUGAGAGGGUGAUCGGCCACAUUGGGACUGGGAUACGGCCCAGACUCCUACGGGAGGCAGCAGUGGGGAAUAGUGCACAAUGGGCGGAAGCCUGAUGCAGCAACGCCGCGUGCGGGAUGACGGCCUUCGGGUUGUAAACCGCUUUCGCCGGUGACGAAGCGUGAGUGACGGUAAUGGGUAAAGAAGCACCGGCUAACUACGUG